rnacentral:rRNA from 1 species
CAAGUCGAACGGGACUUUCUUUGGUAGCAAUACCGGCAGAAAGUUUAGUGGCGAACGGGUGCGCUAACACGAUGGGCAAUCUGCCGAGAAGUGGGGAAUAGCUCGCCGAAAGGCGAAUUAAUACCGCAUGUGAUCAGGGAAGACAUCUUUCCGACAUCAAAGCCGGGGCAACCUGGCGCUUCUUGAUGAACCCGCGGCCUAUCAGCUAGUUGGUGAGGUAACGGCUCACCAAGGCUAUGACGGGUAGCUGGUCUGAGAGGACGACCAGCCACACUGGAACUGAGACACGGUCCAGACACCUACGGGUGGCAGCAGUCGAGAAUUUUUCUCAAUGGGGGAAACCCUGAAGGAGCGACGCCGCGUGGAGGAUGAAGGCUUUCGGGUUGUAAACUCCUGUCAUUUGAGAACAAGGUGCACAUGUUAACUGUAUGUGCAUUGAUAGUAUCAGAAGAGGAAGAGACGGCUAACUCUGUGCCAGCAGCCGCGGUAAUACAGAGGUCUCAAGCGUUGUUCGGAUUCAUUGGGCGUAAAGGGUGCGUAGGUGGCGCGCUAAGUCAGGUGUGAAAUUUCGGAGCUUAACUCCGAAACUGCAUUUGAUACUGGCGUGCUUGAGGACUGGAGAGGAGACUGGAAUUCAUGGUGUAGCAGUGAAAUGCGUAGAGAUCAUGAGGAAGACCAGUGGCGAAGGUGGGUCUCUGGACAGUUCCUGACACUGAGGCACGAAGGCCAGGGGAAGCAAACGGGAUUAGAUACCCCGGUAGUCCUGGCAGUAAACGGUGCACGUUUGGUGUGGGAGGAUUCGACCCCUUUCUGCGCCGGA